AUUGAACGCUGGCGGCAUGCCUUACACAUGCAAGUCGAACGGUAACGCGGGGCAACCUGGCGACGAGUGGCGAACGGGUGAGUAAAGCAUCGGAACGUGCCCAGUAGCGGGGGAUAGCCCGGCGAAAGCCGGAUUAAUACCGCAUACGACCUAUGGGCGAAAGGGGGGGAUCGCAAGACCGCUCGCUAUUUGAGCGGCCGAUGGCAGAUUAGGUAGUUGGUGGGGUAAAGGCCUACCAAGCCGACGAUCUGUAGCUGGUCUGAGAGGACGACCAGCCACACUGGGACUGAGACACGGCCCAGACUCCUACGGGAGGCAGCAGUGGGGAAUUUUGGACAAUGGGCGCAAGCCUGAUCCAGCCAUGCCGCGUGCGGGAAGAAGGCCUUCGGGUUGUAAACCGCUUUUGUCAGGGAAGAAAUCCUUUGGGUUAAUACCUCGGGGGGAUGACGGUACCUGAAGAAUAAGCACCGGCUAACUACGUGCCAGCAGCCGCCGUAA
rnacentral:rRNA from 1 species